GAUGAACGCUAGCGAUAGGCCUAACACAUGCAAGUCGAGGGGUAGCACAGAGUAGCAAUACUUGGGUGACGACCGGCGCACGGGUGAGUAACACGUAUGCAACCUACCUAUAACAGGGAGAUAACCCGGAGAAAUCCGGACUAAUACCCCAUAACACAGGGAUGCCGCAUGGCAAUAUUUGUUAAAGAUUAAUCGGUUAUAGAUGGGCAUGCGUUCCAUUAGCCAGUUGGUGAGGUAACGGCUCACCAAAGCAACGAUGGAUAGGGGAACUGAGAGGUUUGUCCGCGACACUGGAACUGAGACACGGACCAGACUCCUACGGGAGGCAGCAGUGAGGAAUAUUGGUCAAUGGGCGAGAGCCUGAACCAGCCAAAUCGCGUGAAGGAAGACUGCCCUACGGGUUGUAAACUUCCUUUAUAGGGGAAUAAAAAAGGGAACGAGUUCCCUAUUGUAUGUACCCUAUGAAUAAGCAUCGGCUAACUCCGUGCCAGCCGCCGCAGUAAAAC
rnacentral:rRNA from 1 species